AACACAAGAGGGUCAGAAAAGUAUUGACUUUUAACCGAAUCACAUCAUUCUACAGAAGAAGUUUUCACGCAACAUACAGUGCUUUUGUUUGUUUCAAAUAAACUCAUCGAAGAAAUCAAUCAUGCCUUGUGACUGUUGCAAAAAUUGCAAAUGCGCCACAGUAAAAUGCGGCGACGAGUGUAAGUGCGAAAAAUGUUGCUGCAAAUCGGGCAACAAGGAAACUUGCUGCUGCUGCUCAACUCAAGCAACUAAAUAGGAACGAAAAAAGAACAACCAUUUUCACACCUAAAGCAGUUCUAUUGACACGAUGCCGAAGAAAAAAAUCAACAAAUUCCAUUUGUUCAAAAUGUCAAUAGUACUAAUCAAAUUGCAAUAAAGCUUUUUGAAUAAUCACA